rfam:Lasius niger Lnig_2.1_25185, whole genome shotgun sequence.
CAAUCGGCCCUUUUCAGGGCCAACACAAAAUUAAUACAAACAAAAU